rnacentral:rRNA from 1 species
CAGUCGCCGCGGUAAAACGUAGGUCCCGAGCGUUGUCCGGAUUUAUUGGGCGUAAAGCGAGCGCGGGCGGUUAGAUAAGUCUGAAGUUAAAGGCUGUGGCUUAACCAUAGUACGCUUUGGAAACUGUUUAACUUGAGUGCAAGAGGGGAGAGUGGAAUUCCAUGUGUAGCGGUGAAAUGCGUAGAUAUAUGGAGGAACACCGAUGGCGAAAGUGGCUCUCUGGCUUGUAACUGACGCUGAGGCUCGAAAGCGUGGGGAGCAAACAGGAUUAGAUACCCCCGUAGUCCCUGUCUCUUAUACA